rnacentral:lncRNA from 10 species
GCAACUCUACAUUAUGAAAUAGAAGUGAGAUUUCACACAAGUAGGACUUAAGCAAGUUGUAUGAGCAGAUGACUGAGACUCUUACAACACCUACUACAGGACGAUGAAAACUUCCAUCUUGCCAAAUCUGGUUUUUAAUCUUCUUUCCUCAACGUAAUCCAUAUAUUGGCUUGAUUCUCAAUAUUCAUGACUUUUCCAACUAUAAUUUUUUGCCUGAGAAAUGGGCAGGUGUCACAGUGUGAAUGAAUUGAACUUAAUGCACUGAUAACUUCAGUCUCCAAAGCAUAUGUUUCCAGAAGAAAAACUGAUGGAUCUUUAUUUUGAUCUGUCCUGGCAAGAAUAUUUUUGUAGUGAGUAGCCUUUGAAGAGAGAAGAAAGGACAGGCACGCUUCCUAUCCACCUCAAAAGAUUUGGUUUCCUAAGGCUUGGUGCUUCCUAAGUCCUGAUCCAUCAUCUUCUUAAUAGAUAAUAGUGAUUACUUGUGUUUACAGCAUUUUACUAUAUAUUAGAUACUAUGGGAAGUGCUUUAAAUAUCUUUUAUUUAAAUUUGGCUAACUUGUAAUUUAAAUAUCAUCAUCACCAUCUAUUAUGUUGCCAAAAUGAGGCUUAAAGGAAUUAAACAAUGUGUUCAAGUCAUAAGCUGUGGAGUCUGGGUUGAAUGUAAACUGGAGAAUAUGUUUGAUGCAGGACAGAGACUGUAAAACCUAGGAUCUCUGAUGUCAAAUGUAGAACCAACGACUUAUAAGAGGCACUGACCUCAGCUAUUUAUCUGAAAGUAACCAAAAAAUACUAAAUAAUAUGCGAAUGUUUACUUUUAUCUGCAUGCUCACUUUAUGAAUCAGAGACAUGCCACUGAAUUAUCUUUAUUCCUGGCCAACUACUUGCUUCCCCCACUCUCCCUGAGAAUGGUGGACACCAAUCAGGAUACUCUAAAUGGAGAUACCUGCGUUUCAGUUUCUGUGAUCCUAGUCUUCAAAAAUUAAUCAUUCAUAUGUUUAAGUGAUUUUACCAUUUAAUUCCCACUACGUGGGAGCUCAAUAAGUAACUGUUGCAUCCAUUUCUGAAUGAUAUACACCUAAGUCUUCAGUUUCUAUUGUUUAGUUUCUUACAAUAAUUCACUUUAUUUUGCAUGUGGGGAAGGAGGACUUGAGUUUUUCUGCAAAGGGGGAAAUGCUAAAGUUAUUUAUAAAUGAGGAAGCUGUUUGAAUUUCCAAAGAUUGGCUGCAAAGGAAAUUUAGUAGACACUAAAAUCUCAGAAGAAAAAAUAUCAGGCUGCGGGAGAGGGAAUGGGACAGCCAGGUGAUCUUGAAGUGUUCCUAAUGUGUUGCGUGUUGGGUGAAUCACUAAUUCCCUCUAGGCUUCAGUUUCUCAUUCUUGAAAUGCUGAUAAUAAUGUCUUAUUCAUGUAAUUGUUCAGUAUAUUAUGUAAUAUCAUAUAUGUAAGACACCUGAAGUAGUGCCAGACUCCACAGUUUGCAUAUAACAAAUUUAAUUUUAAAUUUAUUAUUAUUUUUAUUAUUAAAUUCUCAUAUUCUGUGAACAAAAGUGAUGUUAUCUUCAAUUUGCAAAGAAUAAAAUUCAGACUCACAAGAUUAAGUAACUUGCCUAAAGUAGAACAGCUGGUACGUGGUGGAGCUGAGAUUCAAAGCAAGGCAGCUCACAGUGAUUGCAUAAUGUAACCCUCCUAGAAAGCUCACAGUUGCCUUGGAGUGUGAGGCCGUGAUGCUUUCCAACAAUGUGUUGCUUGGUGAUUACUCUGGCACUCAAGAGUAUAUUUCACAAACGUAGACUACCUUCGAUGCAUUGUUGUUUAUUUCAUUGUUAUUUAAGCAAUAUAUGUUAAAUCAGUUUUGAUAUUUUUCCUUGGUAUUUUUGGAAAAUAUAAAAAGCAAUUUAUGAGAAGAGGUCGUUUUACUCCAUGUUUAUCACUGCUCUGGUAUGAUCAUUAUAUCUUUUCUUAACAACUGUAGAAACUACAU